CCUUUCAGAUGCACAGACAGCUACUGCAAGCACCAAUCUCCCGAACUGCAAACUACACGAAUUCUCCAACUCCUGAACAGGAAACUCACGAAUACUGGAAACAGCUGAACAGGAAAAACCAUACGAAAGGUUUACACUCCUGGCAGUCAGCAUACAAUCCAAUUCCCCCAAUAACGAGACGACACUUCGUUUGAGGGUUAAGCAGAAUCU